rnacentral:rRNA from 1 species
UACGUAGGGGCAAGCGUUGUCCGGAAUCAUUGGGCGUAAAGAGCGUGUAGGCGGCUCGAUAAGUCUGCUGUGAAAGUCCAGGGCUCAACCCUGGAAGGCCGGUGGAAACUGUCGGGCUAGAGUCCGGAAGAGGCGAGUGGAAUUCCCGGUGUAGCGGUGAAAUGCGCAGAUAUCAGGAGGAACACCAGCGGCGAAGGCGGUGCUCUGGGCCGGAACUGACACUGAGGAGCGAAAGCGUGGGUAGCAAACAGG